GGAAAGGCUCCAUAGCUCAGUGGUUAGAGCACUGGUCUUGUAAACCAGGGGUCGUGAGUUCAAUUCUCGCUGGGGCCUUGACUAAGUGGUCACAUGUUUUAAUCCAGAGAUCAAUGUAUUAUUGUAUAUGGCAGUAGGAAAGCAGUCCUACUUGAGCAUUCUACCUGCCCUCCAGGACACCUACACCACCCGAUGUUACAGGAAGGCCAUAAAGAUCAUCAAGGACAUCAACCACCCGAGCCACUGCCUGUUCACCCCGCUAUCAUCCAGAAGGCGAGUCUCCCCUCGUCAGUACGUCCAACAGGCCUCACAAACGCAGACCAUGUGUAACCACGCCAGCCCAGGACCUCCACAUCCGGCUUCUUCACCUGUUGGAUCGUCUAAGACCAGCCACCAGCUGAUGAAAAUGUGGG
ensembl:lncRNA